UACGGAGGGUGCAAGCAUUAAUCGGAUUUAUUGGGCGUAAAGGGCGCGUAGGCGGCCGAGAAAGUCAGAUGUGAAAUUUUGGAGCUUAACUCCAAAACUGCAUUUGAAACUUCUUGGCUAGAGGGUAGGCGGAGAAAGUGGAAUUCCAAGUGUAGCGGUAAAAUGCGUAGAUAUUUGGAAGAACACCGGUGGCGAAAGCGGCUUUCUAGCUUAUUCCUGACGCUGAGGCGCGAAAGCAAGGGGAGCAAACAGG
rnacentral:misc_RNA from 1 species